UCCACCGCCCGCCCGGCCUGUGCGAGCUCUGAGGCUGCCGGCUCGCGGCAGACGCCAUGUACCGGCUCCUGUCAGCCGUGAUGACCCGGGCCGCGACCCCCGGGGGCUGGGCCUGGGGCCGCGGAGGGCGCGGGGCCCACCAGCGCGCCGGCCUGCCGCCGCUCGGCCCUGGCUGGGUCGGGGGUCUCGGGCUGGGGCUGGGGCUGGCGCUCGGGGUGAAGCUGGCGGACGGCCUGAGGGGCGCGGGCCCCGCGCAGCCCCCAGCGGCCCCCGACCCCGAGGCGUCGCCCCAGGCCGAACAGCUGCCGCCGCAGGAGCAGCCUCUGGCUCCGUGGUCCGCACAGACCCCGACGCCGCCCCCCUCCCGGCGCUUCGCCAGAGCCAUCGACAGCAGCCGCGACCUGCUGCACCGGAUCAAGGAUGAGGUGGGCGCCCCCGGCGUGGUGGUUGGAGUCUCUGUAGAUGGAAAAGAAGUCUGGUCAGAAGGCUUAGGUUAUGCUGAUGUUGAGAACCGUGUACCAUGCAAGCCAGAGACGGUUAUGAGAAUUGCCAGUAUCAGCAAAAGCCUCACCAUGGUUGCUCUUGCCAAACUGUGGGAAGCUGGAAAACUGGAUCUUGAUAUUCCAGUACAACAUUAUGUUCCUGAAUUCCCAGAAAAAGAAUAUGAAGGUGAAAAGGUUUCUGUCACAACAAGAUUACUGAUUUCCCAUUUAAGUGGAAUUCGUCAUUAUGAAAAAGACAUGAAAAAGGUGAAAGAAGAGAAAGCUUACAAAGCCUUGAAGAUGAUGAGAGGGAUAAUGGAAUCUGACCAAGAAAAAGAGUUCAAAGAAAAAGGAGGCAAAAGUAAUGAAAAGAGUGACUUUGUUAAAGCUAAGAUAGAGCAAGAUACUGAUGCCAAAGGCCGGAACUUAAAACCUGGCAAGAAAAAGAAUGAUUUUGAACAAGGCGAAUUGUAUUUGAAAGAAAAGUUUGAGAAUUCAAUUGAAUCCCUAAGAUUAUUUAAAAAUGACCCUUUGUUUUUUAAACCCGUCAGUUUUUGUAUUCAACUUUUGGCUAUACCCUACUGGCAGCCAUAGUAGAAAGAGCUUCAGGAUAUAAAUAUUUGGACUAUAUGCAGAAAAUAUUCCAUGACUUGGAUAUGCUGACAACUGUGCAGGAAGAAAAUGAGCCAGUGAUUUACAAUAGAGCAAGAUUUUAUGUUUACAAUAAAAAGAGACGUCUUGUCAACACACCAUACGUGGAUAACUCCUAUAAAUGGGCUGGUGGUGGAUUUCUGUCUACAGUGGGUGACCUUCUGAAAUUUGGGAAUGCGAUGCUGUAUGGUUACCAAGUUGGGCUCUUUAAGAACUCACAUGAAAAUCUUUUACCCGGAUAUCUCAAGCCAGAAACAAUGGUUAUGAUUUGGACACCAGUCCCUAACACAGAGAUGUCUUGGGAUAAAGAGGGUAAAUACGCAAUGGCUUGGGGUGUUGUGGAAAAGAAGCAAACGUAUGGUUCUUGUAGAAAGCAGCGGCAUUAUGCCUCACACACCGGAGGUGCGGUGGGUGCCAGCAGCGUGCUGCUGGUCCUUCCCGAAGAACUGGAUGCGGAAGCUAUAAAUAACAAGGUUCCCCCAAGAGGAAUAGUCGUCUCUAUCAUCUGCAAUAUGCAGUCUGUUGGCCUCAAUAGCACUGCUUUAAAGAUUGCUCUGGAAUUUGAUAAAGACAGAUCUGACGUAUCUUAACAUUGCAGGUGCAAAAUGAGCUGUUUUGUUCUUCUUGUUGCUGUCGUUUGAAACAUUAAAGCCCCAAAAUACAUGAGAUUUUUUAAAAAUAGAUUUGUAAUAGGGUGUAAUUGAAUGCAGAGAAUUAUGUACCUCUAAUUGCUUAAUUUUGUAAUUGUCUUUUAUUGUAGGAUUAGUUCUUUAUACUCAGGGAAGUAAUUAUAUUAUUUUUACUUUUUGAAGAAAGUGUUAAUUCUUGAAAUAAAAUAUUCUGAUAAAAAUA